rnacentral:tRNA from 1 species
AGGACUGUAGCUCAGUUGGUUAGAGCACCACCUUGACAUGGUGGGGGUCGUUGGUUCGAAUCCAAUCAGUCCUA